UACGUAGGGUGCAAGCGUUAAUCGGAAUUACUGGGCGUAAAGCGUGCGCAGGCGGUUUUGUAAGUCUGUCGUGAAAGCCCCGGGCUCAACCUGGGAAUUGCGAUGGAGACUGCAAGGCUUGAAUCUGGCAGAGGGGGGUAGGAUUCCACGUGUAGCAGUGAAAUGCGUAGAGAUGUGGAGGAACACCGAUGGCGAAGGCAGCCCCCUGGGUCAAGAUUGACGCUCAUGCACGAAAGCGUGGGGAGCAAACAGG
rnacentral:rRNA from 1 species